CACACACACACACACACACACACACACACACACAAAAGGUUUAUGUGGACUCAAGAGAAUGGCUUGCUUCUUAAGGUUUUACAAGCCCCAGAUGUUGCCCCAACAAGAGUCAGACAAGGUGCAUAGGAACUGUCUGCAGUACAGAAUCCAUUUCAUUCCUAGACACACAGUAGUGUACAAAAAUGUGGGUUGCCUUGGAAACGCCUUGUCAAGUCAGCAAACUAGGAGGGGGGUUCCAAAGUCUAUCAGAGAUAAGCUGUGUCCUGCUCAGGAUUUUCCAUCUCCUUUACUGGGCUUUGUGUCUGGCUGCUUACACACAGGCCCGCGUGGAUUAUUUUGUCAGGCCGCUAGCAGGAAAAGCAGACGCACAUCCCUGACUAGCCACUGACUGCAGGGAGGAGGCCUGCUCAACACUAUUGCUGGUUUCCAUGGUAACAAAAAGGCAACUACCAACAUGUCUAUCCCAACCUUAAGUCUAUCCACUCACCAUUUUGAUGGGCACACAGGCAAGGUCUUCAUCUGUGACAGGUGUGUCGUCACUUUCCACAACAUAAAUGCCCUUUCUGGACAGAGACUGGAUGACGGACAUGUGGGACUGAAGAGACGCUGCCUGCUCCGUCUUGAGGAUGAGGGCGCAGACACGGCAGUAGAGCUCGCAGGACAGCAGCAGGCGGA